rnacentral:rRNA from 1 species
GGAGGGGGCGAGCGUUAUUCGGAUUUAUUGGGCGUAAAGGGCGUGUAGGCGGCAUGGUAAGUCAAAGGUGAAAUCCCUCGGCUCAACCGAGGAACUGCCUUUGAAACUGCCGAGCUAGAGUCCGGGAGAGGGUAGCGGAAUUCCCAGUGUAGCGGUGAAAUGCGUAGAUAUUGGGAGGAACACCAGUGGCGAAGGCGGCUACCUGGACCGGUACUGACGCUGAGGCGCGAAAGCGUGGGGAGCAAACAGGAUUAGAUACCCUGGUAGUCCACGCUGUAAACGAUGGGCACUCGGUGUCGCGGGUAUCGACCCCCCUGCGGUGCCUUAGCUAACGCGAUAAGUGCCCCGCCUGGGGAGUACGGUCGCAAGGCUG